UACGAAGGGGGCUAGCGUUGCUCGGAAUUACUGGGCGUAAAGGGAGCGUAGGCGGACAUUUAAGUCAGGGGUGAAAUCCCAGAGCUCAACUCUGGAACUGCCUUUGAUACUGGGUGUCUUGAGUGUGAGAGAGGGUAUGUGGAACUCCGAGUGUAGAGGUGAAAUUCGUAGAUAUUCGGAAGAACACCAGUGGCGAAGGCGACAUACUGGCUCAUUACUGAACGCUG
rnacentral:rRNA from 1 species